ACCAUUUCCCUUUAAAUGGGUACACAUGUAGGUGGGUGCCAUAGCAACCACGGAAUACUUCAGCAACAUCCUGUGUGUACAUCUAUUGCUCAUCCUCAGACAGUUCCAAGAGCUAGGUGGAAUUGGAUGGCCAUUUAUCAGGAGUUAAUUUACCAAGUCAAAGAAGGGAGAAUUUCAGAAGCAGCAGCUUUUCUUCUCAUCAAUGAAACACUGUGGCAUGACCAGCAGGCAACUAAGGGUGACUACUUACUCCUAGCAAGGACUGAAGACUACAUCCAUGAAAGGAUCCAGUAACAAAAUGGCAGAACGACCCUAACUACUGUUCAGGGGAUUGCAAAUGAUUAUGACAAAAAGAAGCUUGUGAAAGCCUUCAAAAAGAAAUUUGCCUGUAAUGAUAUUGUGACUGAGCAUCCUGAAUACAGGGAAGUGAUCCAGUUGCCAGAGAAAGAACAUUUGCCAGUUCCUUCUGGAGGUUGGCAUUGUUAAGGAAGAGCAGUUGAAAGUUCAUGGCUUCUAAAAUGUGUAAAAUGAAUUCUGCAGGUUUUGUUAAAUAUUUGGGAGGGGAGAAUUGCUGUAACUGGCUGAUGGUUUGCAGAAUAAAGCAACCUCUUCCAGGGUGUGCAAAGUUUAUAA